AUGUUGGCAAAUGAGGUUGGUAGUUAUGUCUGUUGUGAAGAGAGCACACUGAAUUCUAUCAACAUAGUCAUUGCGAGGAUCUUGAUCAGAGCUCUGCGCGAUUCAGUUCUUGAUAAGUUCAUGAAGAUUAAGAUUGAUGAAUCUGUAUACACGAUCAGAUUGGUGGAAGAAUCUUAUGGCCCAUUUAAGGGUCAAUCUGCUAAAGAAAGCGAGGAGUUUGGUGUCUUCCGAUGA